rnacentral:rRNA from 1 species
AUGGUUGAUGCGGUUGCAGCGCGCCUACCGACCUGGAAGGCCUGGCUGAUGACUAAAACCGGGCGCCUCGCGCUGGUUAAGUCGGUCUUGAGUGCCAACCCAGUGCACCAACUGCUUGCGUUCGCGCCCCCCAAAAAAACUCUCAAGCAGAUCGAGAAGAUUCAGCGUGGUUUUCUUUGGGCUGGACGCGCCGCUGCCAAUGGCGGACACUGCCACGUGAACUGGAACAGAGUUUGCCGCCCCAUCGAGCUUGGGGGCCUGGGCGUGCGAGACCUCGAGCGCGCCGGUCUCGCCCUGCGACUACGCUGGUUAUGGUUCUCCAGAACGGACCCGGAGCGAGCAUGGCAGGGGUUGGACCUUCAAUUCUCGCCCACGGAACGUGCCCUGUUCUGGGCAUCCACGUUCACGCUCAUUGGGAAUGGGCAGACCGCCCUGCUCUGGGAGGACCGAUGGAUAGGUGGCCAAUCCGUGCGCGAGCUCAUGCCUAACCUCUACGGCUGCAUCCCCAAGCGACGACGGAAGACGAGAACCGUGGCGGACGGACUCAAUGGCAACUCCUGGGCACGCGACAUCCAAGGCAACCUCGGCCUCCACGAGAUUGGUCAGUAUCUGCAGCUCUGGCAGAUCAUGCAGCGCACUGAGCUCUCCACCACACCGGACAGGUUGAUCUGGAGAUGGACGGCGAGUGGCACCUACUCCGCGCAGUCCUGCUACACGGCCACCUUCCAUGGAUCAACGGGCUGUCAUUCCUGGAAGCUAAUCUGGAAGUGUUGGGCGCCGCCGCGGGUCAAGUUCUUCCACUGGUUAGCCAACCAGGACCGCUGCUGGACGGCAGAGAGGCUGGCGCGCCACGGUCUCCAGUAUCAUCCCCGCUGCCUCCUAUGUGACCAGCAACCGGAGACAAUGCGACAUCUGCUGCUGGAAUGCCCCCUAGCCCGACAGGCAUGGCACGAGACCCUGGCCUGGCUACGCAUACCGGCCCCGAUCCCAACACAGGAACUGUCGCUUACGGAUUGGUGGAACCAUGCCAAGGAAGACACGCCGCCGAUCCUUCGCAAGGCCCUGAAAUCUGUCGCGCUGCUCGUGCCUUGGAUGGUCUGGAAACACAGGAACAGCUGCGUCUUCGACAAUACGACUCCAUCCCUUAACACGCUCCUAGAUAGCAUUCAGGACGAGGCCCGCUCAUGGGCGGCAGCUGGGGCACCUGGUCUCCGACUUGUGCUGCCCCAAACCUGGGAUGUGCAUUAA